rnacentral:rRNA from 1 species
AUACGUAGGUCCCGAACGUUGCGCGAAAUUACUGGGCGUAAAGGGUCCGUAGGCGGUCUGGUAAGUGGAAGGUGAAAGCCUGGGGCUCAACUCCAGAAUUGCCUUCCAAACUGCCGGACUUAAGGCAGGGAGAGGUCGGCGGAAUUCCCGGUGUAGUGGUGAAAUGCGUAGAUAUCGGGAGGAACACCAGUGGCGAAGGCGGCCGACUGGAACUGUCCUGACGCUGAGGGACGAAAGCCAGGGGAGCGAACCGGAUUAGAAACCCUAGUAGUCC